GAUGAACGCUAGCUACAGGCUUAACACAUGCAAGUCGAGGGGCAGCAUGGUCUUAGCUUGCUAAGGCCGAUGGCGACCGGCGCACGGGUGAGUAACACGUAUCCAACCUGCCGUCUACUCUUGGACAGCCUUCUGAAAGGAAGAUUAAUACAAGAUGGCAUCAUGAGUCCGCAUGUUCACAUGAUUAAAGGUAUUCCGGUAGACGAUGGGGAUGCGUUCCAUUAGAUAGUAGGCGGGGUAACGGCCCACCUAGUCUUCGAUGGAUGGGGGUUCUGAGAGGAAGGUCCCCCACAUUGGAACUGAGACACGGUCCAAACUCCUACGGGAGGCAGCAGUGAGGAAUAUUGGUCAAUGGGCGAGAGCCUGAACCAGCCAAGUAGCGUGAAGGAUGACUGCCCUAUGGGUUGUAAACUUCUUUUAUAAAGGAAUAAAGUCGGGUAUGGAUACCCGUUUGCAUGUACUUUAUGAAUAAGGAUCGGCUAACUCCGUGCCAGCAGCCGCGGUAAUACGGAGGAUCCGAGCGUUAUCCGGAUUUAUUGGGUUUAAAGGGAGCGUAGAUGGAUGUUUAAGUCAGUUGUGAAAGUUUGCGGCUCAACCGUAAAAUUGCAGUUGAUACUGGAUAUCUUGAGUGCAGUUGAGGCAGGCGGAAUUCGUGGUGUAGCGGUGAGAUGCUUAGAUAUCACGAAGAACUCCGAUUGCGAAGGCAGCCUGCUAAGCUGCAACUGACAUUGAGGCUCGAAAGUGUGGGUAUCAAACAGGAUUAGAUACCCUGGUAGUCCACACGGUAAACGAUGAAUACUCGCUGUUUGCGAUAUACUGCAAGCGGCCAAGCGAAAGCGUUAAGUAUUCCACCUGGGGAGUACGCCGGCAACGGUGAAACUCAAAGGAAUUGACGGGGGCCCGCACAAGCGGAGGAACAUGUGGUUUAAUUCGAUGAUACGCGAGGAACCUUACCCGGGCUUAAAUUGCAGAUGAAUUACGGUGAAAGCCGUAAGCCGCAAGGCAUCUGUGAAGGUGCUGCAUGGUUGUCGUCAGCUCGUGCCGUGAGGUGUCGGCUUAAGUGCCAUAACGAGCGCAACCCUUGUUGUCAGUUACUAACAGGUUCCGCUGAGGACUCUGACAAGACUGCCAUCGUAAGAUGUGAGGAAGGUGGGGAUGACGUCAAAUCAGCACGGCCCUUACGUCCGGGGCUACACACGUGUUACAAUGGGGGGUACAGAGGGCCGCUACCACGCGAGUGGAUGCCAAUCCCCAAAACCUCUCUCAGUUCGGACUGGAGUCUGCAACCCGACUCCACGAAGCUGGAUUCGCUAGUAAUCGCGCAUCAGCCACGGCGCGGUGAAUACGUUCCCGGGCCU
rnacentral:rRNA from 1 species